GAAUGAAAAAACAAAAAAGACAACACCAUGAUGUCCACAUGCCUCUAUAAACAACAAGCCAAACCUUCCUAUUCAAACCCUCCACCCCAUCCCCUUCACUCUCUCUCUCUUUAGACUGUUCCUUUGUGUUUGAGUUCUUGAUCAUGAGCAGCUAGCCACCCCUUUGCCGUCAACUCGUGAUGGCAAAGGGGUGGCACGCGCGUAGCCCAAGACUCACUAUUGUUGUCUGGAGGGAGCUGCUGGUGAUUUUGUCUACUUUUAUCUUUGUCCCAAGGUAAGGAAAUUGCCAUUUUAUUCAAUUUUAUGGUGAUUUUCUAGUUAUGAAUAGGGCAACUUGUAUCCUUUGGCAUUUUCACUUCCCUUUGAGUACUCUCUUAAUGAGCUCUUGGAAGUUUUUAACUAUAGUAAAACAAUAAUUCAAGUAGGAUUUGUGUAGUCCUAUUUGUACUUUGUUGAACAUGUUUGGUGUAUUAAUAAAUGUUGUGUAGUACUUUGGGAAGAACUAGUUGAACAUGUAUUACUAGUAUAUAUUUGGCCAGUACUGGCUAUAAUAAUUAAAGUAUUGUUUUCUGUUAAUGUUUGAAGAGUGUUUAUUAUACAUUGUUGUUGACUUCGUACAUCAUGUUUUUGCGUAUAGAUGUUGCAAUAUAAUAUAAUCAAUAAAUAUUGAAGAGGAUAUGAAAUUUUUUAUUUAUUUUUUUAAAAUGUUUGAUAACUUCAAUUGUUACUUUCAUGCCUCGACGUGAUUGGAAAUGUAUAAAUAUUUUCGUGUGUUUAACAAUGAGGUUUGUUAAGCCAUGUUGGUCACUAUCAUAAUUUGUAGUUUGAUACUUAAUUAAGCUAAUUGCACUUUAUGUUGCAAAAUACCUUGGGUAUAAUAACUUGAAUGGAAUUAUCCUCUUAUCUUGUGAUUACAAGUGUAGAUUGUUCAUUUGUGCCAUUUUCUGACUAAGAGAUGCUGGAUCUUACUUUUUCUUAAAUGUAAUAAUUAUUACGUUGAGCCUUGAAGAAUAGACAAUCACUUGUUAUUACGUUAAAAAUAAAAAAUAAAAAAAUUCAAGAUAAAAUGAAAUGAAUCAAAAUAUAAUUAAGUUUAUAGCGUAUUGUGCAAACACGAUUAGAAAGUGAUUUAACCUGCGUGAUUAGUGGUGAAAGAGGGAUAGGUCCCUAGAAGGAUUUUAGGGAAUAGAAAGGACAAGUGAAUUAUAGAGCUAAUUAAGAUAAGAGGAAAUUAGAGAUUUUGCCCAUUGAGAUUGAGCAUGACGAGCCACAACUGAUCCAAUAUUGAGAUAAAAAAGGAAAAACUUCCUUAGAUUACAACCCCUCACCCCACGCACCCCACCCCCACAAUAUAUAUACACACAUUUUUUGUUUGUGUCAAGACGAAUUUUACACACAUAAUUUAAGCACUCUUUUUCACAGAGUUUGAUAGUCAUAAUGUUAUCAUGAUGUGCUGAAAUAAUGGAGACACAAAAGGUAAUAACAAGUGCUACAUGUACUUAGACUUAGAUUAGCACUACUUAAUACAUACUCCUUGAAUACUAGUAUUCUCUUUGUUUCUAUUUACUUGUCACCCUUCUAAGUUGCACAUGUAGUUAAAAAAUUAUUCAAUAAAAUUAUUCUUAUUUAUUACUCAUCUUUAUUUAAUGCUUUUUUUUUUUUUUAUAAUAUACUAAUAUCUCUUCAUAUUUAUUACAAAGGAUAAAAGUAAAAAAAAAUCGAUUGUGUCUUGAGUUUAUGAAAUGACUAGUAUAAGGAACAUCUAUUUUUAGCAUGCACGACAACUAAUUAGGAAAGGUGAGAGUAUCAAUUUAUGUGACACCAUUUGACUUGACAUAAAAAUUAAGAAAGAAAUGAAAUAUCUUAAAAUUUAUGAUCUAAAACAAGUCUUAGACAUUUAAAUAACUAUAAAUCAUAUCAUUGAAGAUAAAAGAGGUAUUUUGAAAUUAAAUUCUUUUUAAUUACAGAAAGACGGCUCAGUUUCUUUUGAACGAACUGAAAAAAAAUGUAUUACAUAAAUUGAAAUAGAAAGUAUCAAAUUACCAAUAGUAUAAUUCAUAACCACCUAUGUAACUAUAGUCACCUAGUUAAAUGUUAAUAAGUUGUCAUCGAGUGAUAGGGGCGCAAAGGGAUCAAAAAAGAAAGCCACUUCAUCGGAAAAGUAUAUUGAAUAAAUAAAAUUAUUUUUUUAUAUAUAUAAUGAUGUUGAAUCUUCUUAUUUUGUUAUAUAUGUUUACUUCUUAAUAUUUAACAUCCCAUUAAUGAACAUAUUGUAUCCAAUUUUUUAAAGGCAGAGGCGUAAAACAAGACAUUUUAUCUGAUAUGAGGCGAAGCGUAAGUCUCGAGGUGUUGGGGCGUAAGCCCCCCUGGAUGCUUUAAUUUUUAAUAUUUUAUAAAAUAAUAUAAUUAGAAAUAAAAAUUUUAUAAAAAAAAAUAGUUCAUUAUUAAUCAACUCUCACCUUCUUGUAACUCGAAAUAUAUUUACGCCCCGAUAUACCAUAUAUAAUAUUUUAAAAUAGAGAAAAAGAAAUAGCUUAAAAACUCGUCUCCAUGCGACUUGAAAAGAACUAAAAAAAAAGAAAGGAACUAGGAAGAAGAAAGUAGCCUCAGUACCUUUCUUAAGAGCGGCGUGGUCGGCACCCACCGAUAAAUACAUUUGAAAGUGCGACUUUUAAGCUUUCUUUUGCUUUCGAUUUCAAUAUUUAAGUAUUUAUCAAUCAUAUAUUUUAGUAUUAAGCUUAAAUAAUUAGAGAUUUAAUAAGAAAAAAUCAUUUUACAUUGUAACUUUCUAGGCUUACGCCUAAUUUUCGUCUCACGCUCAGGAGAAUGCCUCAAAUCUCGGGGCAUUCUCCUUCCAAUACUAUUGCCUUCCCUCAAUGCCUCGGGGCAUUUUUGGCUAUGUCUCGCCCCAAGGCGAGCCUCAGGACGAACCCCGAACUGCCUUUUAAAACACUGAAUUUAUAUCCACCGUUACUAAUGACUUAUUUUACAUAUCCUCUUAUUAUGUAAAUGUGUUUAAGUAAUAUACACUAUCAAUUAUUAUAAAUAUUUUUUUUACCAUCAUGUCAUCUUUACCUAUUAUUAAAAUGAUAUAUAUUUCACCACCAAAAGAUGUGGUGCAGUGGAUGGGUUGCACUCCCUUAAUCAGAGGUAUCAGGUUUGAGUCUUGGGUACGGAAAAAUCCUUGGUAGGGAGCGCUUCCGCCCGAAUGGGGCCCUACGCGGUGCGAAUCCGGAUUAGUCGAACUCCAAUGCAGGUACUGGUCACCGAAUAAGAAAAAAAAAUGACAUAUAUUUCCGGCACCUAUAUUUCCUAUACCGUUAAAAAUGGUAUGAAGUGUAUGAUGAUAACUAUAUAUCUUCGCGGAUGGAAUUUUUAUCAUCAGACAUUUAUAUUUGUGUUCGAAUAAUUUGAAGAAACUUCUUUUAAUGAACGAUUUCCUUAGAAAGAAAAAAUUGUAUAAUCAUUUAGAAUUUGUCAAGACAAAAACAAAUGCUGUAAGAUCAGAUGGCAGUGCAUGUAUUUGAAUUCAUCAUUAAUGAACUCGACGGAUAAUGUGGAUAAGCAUCAUCACACCUUUUAAUGAAUUUUAUGCAACAAAAAAACAAAUCAAUCGAACCUCAAAAGGUGCGUGAAUACCAAAUAUUAAAUGAGAAAUGUUGGUGACAUUAGAAAAAAACUUGAAUUAGUGCCUAUACCCUCAGCUUAUCCAAUAUGCAUAGUUUCGUGAAGGAGACAAAACACAUUUGAUGUGUCUUAGUACUAGGAAAUUUGAACUCCCCCAGCCGGAUUUGCUUUUUUUUUUUUUUUGCAAGGGGAGGGGGAGGGGGGGUUAAACAUGACUCUUGUGCAUUUCUAAGCUCUAACAAGUUUCAUAAUUUGACAUCUAUUAAGCAUUUGUUUUAGAGAGUUCGAUUAAUUAGGAUUUGAUGUUUCCUUGUGAAAUAAUCGUUAUACCCAAUCAUGGCUGAUCCAUCUGAUAUUGUAUCUUUUAUUUGAAAGGUUGUGUCCUUUCAUUAUUAUUUCUAUUUAGAUCAACUAUCUGAAAAUAUGAAAAGUACAUAGAUAUAACUUUCCUCAAAGCUUUCUUUCUUCCAAUAAAGAGAAAAGACAUCUUUUCCCUCCUGAACUUUUCCUCUAAACUCACUUUAGCACUUAAGCUUAACUUCCGUUUAUUUACCCCUCUUAACAACUUUCAAGUAAAUUAAAUUCACCCUCAAAAUGAAAAUCCCACUCACACGGAGAGUGCACUAUACACGUGUUACGUCAUUGCCAAAUCACUGCCACAUCAGUGUCAUGUCAUUGCCACGUAAUAAAUAAUAUUUUUUUUAAAAAAAAAUCCCAGACACUUAUUUUUUAUAUGUUCUUUUAAAAAAAGAAUAUAUAUAUAUAUAGAUAUAUAUAUUUUAAAUAUAUAUUUUAUAUAAAUAAAAUAGACUCCACCCCCUUCUCUUUUCUUUUUCUUCACAGUCCCCNNNNNNNNNNNNNNNNNNNNNNNNNNNNNNNNNNNNNNNNNNNNNNNNNNNNNNNNNNNNNNNNNNNNNNNNNNNNNNNNNNNNNNNNNNNNNNNNNNNNNNNNNNNNNNNNNNNNNNNNNNNNNNNNNNNNNNNNNNNNNNNNNNNNNNNNNNNNNNNNNNNNNNNNNNNNNNNNNNNNNNNNNNNNNNNNNNNNNNNNNNNNNNNNNNNNNNNNNNNNNNNNNNNNNNNNNNNNNNNNNNNNNNNNNNNNNNNNNNNNNNNNNNNNNNNNNNNNNNNNNNNNNNNNNNNNNNNNNNNNNNNNNNNNNNNNNNNNNNNNNNCACCCCACGCCACCCUACCCCAAUUACUUCUUCUUCUUCAGUACAGCAGCCCCCCAUCCCCCCUUCUUCUUCUUCUUCUUCUUCACAUAAAAACACCCUUUUUUCUCUUUCUUCACCAUUGUUGCAAGCUUUUCAAUGAAUUUUUUUUGUCUUCAUCAAAUAUAAAAUCAACUUGAAUUAACUUGAGCAAAUUCAAUAAUGAACUAAAUACAAGUACAUGAUCACAAAAACAUAUCACUACACAAAAUCUCAAAUCCAAAUUCCUUCACAUUAACCAAAACCCAAAAUUUCAAAACUCCCAAAUUUUUAAUUUUUUACUCAAAAAUGUCUACAGAAAUGGCAUAAACAGUCCGAAAUUCAAAAAUGUCAUAGAUGGUAUUCACAUGACAUGAAAUUCUUGGCCAAGAAUAAAACUUGUUCAUCAAUCUUGAACCCUUUUUUAUUGUUGAAAAAUGAAAUUUUGGAUGAAUUAGGACUUGAUAGGAAGGGGAUUACGAAGAAACGGGGUAGGGGUAUGAAGAAGAUGAAUAAAUAGAGUGUUGGUGGUGAGGGCGGGGGUGGGGGUGAGGAAGGGGAGUGAUGAUGAAGAAGAUAAAGUUAUGCCCUUGACUUCUUUAUAUAUAUAUAUAUAUAUAUAAUAAUAAUAAUAAUAACAAUAAAGUGGGCCUUUUUUUUUAAAAAAAAAAUCACUCGCUUUUUUUUGGCCACGUCAACUGUAAGGGUGAAUUUAAUUCAUUUGAAAGUUUUUAAGGGGGGUUAAUAAAUGAAAAUUAAGUUUAAAUGCUAAAGUGCGUUUGGAGGACAAGUUCAGGGGGGAAAACAUGUCUUUUCUCUUCCAAAAAAGAUCAAGUCUUGACUUUUUUCUUUCCAAAAGAAUUUCUUCACUAUUUGCUUAGUGCAGAAUUCAAUAGGUUUGUCAUAUCCACUAAAACUAUUGCGUUAAAUCUCAUAGCAAUCUUGCAGAAGAGAGGGAGAAAAUAUUAUUUUUAGGAAAGCGUUUCAGGCGUGUUUCAAGCCUCUAAUCCUGUUUUCAAUAUUCAUAUCACUAAUCUUUAUCUUUGUCUUCUUCUUCGUAUAUUUUUAUAUGUGUUCAUGGAACAUAUUUUCCAACAAUCUAAAAACGAUAUUUCACAAGAAGAGAUAUCCGUUUUGAUUAUGCUAUGUCUGACUCAUUUCAUAAGCCAAAGGAACGGCAGAUUAUAUAUGGAAAAGGUUGAAGAGGAAGAAACAGUAGAAUUGUACAAACAAUAAUGGUUGAAUGAGACUCGGUGGCCUUUUGUCUCUUCUAAAUUGAAAGUGCACUCAUUUAGUGGUGAUAAGAUAUCUGGAAGGAUAUAGUGUUAGCGUUGUGACCCAAAUUUUGUUGAUCUGGCCUAGAAAGUUUCGUGGUGCGACCCAUGUUGGUGAUUUUCAAUGGGGUCUGUAGUGGUAGUGUAGGGAUUGGGCGGACAGGCUCGAUAUAGACCUUUAUGUUUUUGGGCCUAGGACUUAUUUGUAUGCACAUAUUAUAUAAGUGCAUUUAGUGGGUUAUUUUGGGCAUUCAGGAAAUUCAGGCUUCUCCAUAUUGUACUCUAUCUCCAUUAUAGUGAAACCUCCUUUGCCUCUGCCCAUGGUUUUUCCUGCAAGGGUUUCCACAUAAAUCUGUGUGUUAUUCUUAUUUUCUUUUACUUAUGGUUUGUUUAUUCUGUUUGAAUCAGAACAAACUGGUAUCAAAGCUUGUUCAAUUGUUUUCUCGGAAUGACAACCAUGAAGUAUGAUAUUUCGUUGUUGGAUCGCAACACUAGAUUUUUGUUAUGGCAGGUUAAGAUGCGG
rnacentral:lncRNA from 1 species